GACGAACGCUGGCGGCGUGCUUAACACAUGCAAGUCGAACGGGAAGGCCCUGCUUUGGGGGGGUGCUCGAGUGGCGAACGGGUGAGUAACACUUGAGUAACCUGCCCUUGACUUUGGGAUAACUUCAGGAAACUGGGGCUAAUACGGGAUAGGAGCUCCUGCUGCAGGGUGGGGGCUGGAAAGUUUCGGCGGUUGGGGAUGGACUCGCGGCUUAUCAGAUUGUUGGUGGGGUAGUGGCUUACCAAGGCUUUGACGGGUAGCCGGGCUGAGAGGGUGACCGGCCCAACUGGGCCUGGACUGCGACACAGACUCCUCUGCGAGGCAGGGGAGGAGAAUGUAGCCUAAUGGGCGGAAGCCUGAUCCAGCAACGCCGCGCCGGGGAUGACGGCAUUCGCGUUGUAAACCGAAUCCGUCUCUGACGAAGAGUGAGUGACGGUAACGGGUAAAGAAGCCCCGGCUAACUACGUG
rnacentral:rRNA from 1 species